UCUUACCCCUGAUGGGAACGGCAUCCUUUUAUAACACCCCUUUUUUGGGGUGGUAUAAAAGAUAUAGUGUACAGCAGGAUUAGGU
rfam:Flavobacterium sp. FPG59 Contig_134, whole genome shotgun sequence.